AAGAAUCCAUCUGCAUCAGCCACCACAGUUGGUUUUGAUGCUCCAACAGCCAUUAUAGCCCCCUGACCAGGAGGAAGAAUAGCAUCAAACCUGUCCACUCCAAACAUUCCCAAAUUGGAUAGAGUGAAUGUUCCUGAAUUGUACUCAUGAGGCUGAAGUUGCUUUGCUCUGGCUUUCUCCACCAACUCUUUCCACUUUUGUGA
rnacentral:misc_RNA from 1 species